GACGAACGCUGGCGGCGUGCCUAAUACAUGCAAGUUGAGCGAUGAAGAUUGGUGCUUGCACCAAUUUGAAGAGCAGCGAACGGGUGAGUAACGCGUGGGGAAUCUGCCUUUGAGCGGGGGACAACAUUUGGAAACGAAUGCUAAUACCGCAUAACAACUUUAAACAUAAGUUUUAAGUUUGAAAGAUGCAAUUGCAUCACUCAAAGAUGAUCCCGCGUUGUAUUAGCUAGUUGGUGAGGUAAAGGCUCACCAAGGCGAUGAUACAUAGCCGACCUGAGAGGGUGGUCGGCCACAUUGGGACUGAGACACGGCCCAAACUCCUACGGGAGGCAGCAGUAGGGAAUCUUCGGCAAUGGGCGAAAGUCUGACCGAACAACGCCGCGUGAGUGAAGAAGGUUUUCGGGUCGUAAAACUCUGUUGGUAGGGAAGAACGUUGGUGAGAGUGGAAAGCUCAUCAAGUGACGGUAACUACCCAGAAAGGGACGGCUAACUACGUG
rnacentral:rRNA from 1 species